rnacentral:rRNA from 1 species
CGGACGGGUGAGGAAUACAUCGGAAUCUACUCUGUCGUGGGGAUAACGUAGGGAAACUUACGCUAAUACCGCAUACGACCUACGGGUGAAAGCAGGGGACCUUCGGGCCUUGCGCUAUCAGAUGAGCCUAGGUCGGAUUAGCUAGUUGGUGAGGUAAUGGCUCACCAAGGCGACGAUCCGUAACUGGUCUGAGAGGAUGAUCAGUCACACUGGAACUGAGACACGGUCCAGACUCCUACGGGAGGCAGCAGUC